ensembl:lncRNA
CCUGGGCGCCGAGGCCCGGUCCCACGACGCGCCCGCCCGCCCGCGGGCCCUGCCCCCAGCCCUCCGGAGCUGCGCUUCCCAGCCGGCUGGCUGGAGCGCGAGCUCUGGACGCACGUGUGUGUCCGCGCAGUAGGACCUGGGUGGGAGGGCUAGUGUAACUCUGGGAGGUGCGACCGUCAAGCCUGUGGAUGAAAGCGCGACUGGUGGUGUGGGGGCCAAGCUCUGGGCUGCGGGAACCUCCGGUGUUUAGGGCUUUUCAAUUGUGUUAAAUCUCUAAAUUCUUCAGCCUGGACCUGUGUAUCCAAACAGGCUCAGUCUGUGUCUAUUGCUUGAGUGCCUGGAAUGUACACCUGGAACCUCUCCACUGGUGCCCACGGUUUAAGAAAGUAAACAGAAGUUUUCAAGGAGAAAUAUGGUCCUCACAUAUGAUAAGCAAGAAAUCUACCACUGAAUUACAAUGCCAGUCCUGCAACUUUGGGCUCUCCAAAGGGGAAGUACUCCUGGCACAGGACAAAGGAAGAAUACUGUUGAGCUUCAGACACUGUCUGCUGCCUGGAAAUCCCCCUUGCCUGUGUCUUCAGGUCAAGAUAUGAAAGAGCACUGACUGUACUGGGAUUGUCUAUCUUCAUGAGCAGGAAGAGUUUUGAUACAAGGUGGUCAGAGAAGACUAUGUGAGAACAUAUGGGUAUGUAAAUGUGCUUUAGGCACAUUUUGUAAAUAUGGGUGCAUACAGGCAUUGACCCUAGUCUGAGAGGGGUAAGGCUUUCAGAAGGGUCUGUCUGACUCCAGAAACCACCAGAUGAGCAAUCAGAACCUAUUGAUGUACUAGCUAAGGAGGGAGAAGAUGAAAACCAUUUUAGUUUCAAGAGCAACUGGUAAGUCAGGGGCUGCUGCUGUCCCAUUAAGUCCCCCUUUCAAAGCUUCCAUGAGAACUGCUUUGAAUGUGAGGAGAUUCUUGCAAUGUAAGAGAAGAUUUUGGUCUUGGACAUAUACCACUUAGAUCUUCAAGAACUAACAGUGGGGAGGUGAGUGAAUAGUGUCUCACUGGUGCCUCUCGACCCUAACAGUGUUUAUACCAAGAACAUAUGCUUCCAAAGCUCAGUCCAGAUAAUCACUGAGCACAGUCUGAUCAUAUGGGAGUUGGGCCAUUCCAUUUCAACACAGGCCUUCUUAUGAGUGGAAGUGUCAGUGCCUCAUUGGUCUAGCUGGAACUUCAUAAGGCCUGCUAUGGCCUGAGACUUUUACACAGUUCUUCCUUUACAUGCAUCAGGAUGUAAGACCUUCCUCACAUAUUUCUGCUUCCUGUGGCUUUUAUGCUUGCCCUAUGUUCCUGCUGGUAAAUCUCCUGUAUGUCAAAUUCUACCCUGGUGUCUGUUUUUGGAGGCCCGAGUUGAGAGUUACCAUGUGAUUUUAGAAUACACACACACACACACACACACACACACACACACACACACACACACACCCACACACACACACACACACACAUGCAAUACCCACUUCUAGUCACAGGUGCAUCUUGGUCAAAAUAACAAUGAAAAGUCUAAUCAAGAACUUUAUAAAACCCAAUUCAAUUGAAAUAUUAUGGUUAUUAAAAGACAAUGGGGAAACUCUCUGAAUACUGUCAUGGUAAAAACAAAAAGUCCCCAAGUUGUACUAGGUGGAAAAAGGAAGGUAUAAGACAAUGUGUAUAGUGUGUGGUGUCCUACUGUAUUUGUAUGUCUGUGGAAACCAAAAGAGGCAAGGGGAUGGGAAUGAUAGCUUCUCUGAAGAGCUAUUUGAUCUGCUUUUAUUUUGAACCUUGAAAGUGUACUUCUUAUUACUAAUUAAAUUGAAAUGUGGAUCUUCAGCAAAUCUUAUUUUAUUUAAAGAUCAAUCCUAUAUACAAAAUUGCAUACAAGUUCCAGUCUGUAGAUGAUUCUGACAUGGGUAAAGCCAUGUGUAGGCGUGGUGAAUAUCAGGACCUCCCCAAACUAACUGUCUCAAGUGGGUGAAGACUUCCCAGGCCAUCCAGAAGGUACCAGUGGGUUCUGACUCACCAUUCUUAAACUGUGGGCCUGCCUAUGACAAAAGUGGACACAGAAUCCUUCAGCUCUAGGCUGACUCACAUGUCAGUCCAACUGUAUUUCUGGUUUGAAAUGGGUUUUGCUUUUCCUAGAAAUAAGUAUGAACCAUCAUUUCCAUGUAAGGGCCUACCCUCAAUUCUACUUCAUUUCUAUACCUUAGACAUAUGACAAAUAUUCCUGUAGGCCUGACUCUUCAUCCAGGGAGUGUAAAGACACUGUAUGAGCCUUUGAAAGGAUGUUGUGCGGGUUCAACCUCAUUCUGAGGGUCUCCAUGUGGUCCUAAUGAAUUUUUCCUGAUGAAUCUUUGCCUCCCUGCUAACCAGGGGCACCUGUUAUGUUGCACAUGCUCAGGUUUGUCCUUUUCUGAAUUCUGGGUCUGUGGGUUUGUAUUGGGCUCAUGAACUGGUUUUGAAUAAACAAUCUUGAGUAUUCUUCAAGGAAACAUUUUCUUAUGUAUUGUCUUAUGAUUUUAUACACUAAUCAGAUACAUUCAGAUUGUCUAAUAUGCAUCCUAAUGCAAUUUCAUCACUUUUAGCAUGAACUACCUCUGAAAAUACCUAGUGAAUUUUAAUUCCUUCCUGUCAUUUUGAAAGCAAAAUUCAAAAGGGCUAGAACAUGUCUCUUAGAAAUAGAUAUACAAUGGAUGCUGAACAUUUGAAAAACAGAAUAAAGCAUUGAUUAGGGAGUCUUGAAAGCCAGCUAUUAAUAAAAGCCUGAAAACAGUAGUUCAGUGAAUGGACUUGGAAGGUCUUCAUUUCUGACCCAGCACCUAGAGUCUGACCUCACAUGUGUUGUCCCUUGGGAUUGAUAAUCUUGAGAUGUCUGUCUCUUACCCACUUUGGAGGAAAACAGGCUCAGAACCUGGACUAAACCCAGAGAUGCUCUGCCCUUGAGUGAUUACAGAACAAUGUAUUGAUGCCAGCUCCUGGGACUCCUAUCAAUUUGACAGUUGUAGCCUUCAUCUGGCCAGCAGGUUCUCAUGGGCCAUGCCCUCUGGCCAUGCCCUCACUAGAUAAUGUCUGCCUGGAACGUUUGCCAUCCUCUGUUCCUGACUGCCAACCAGCAGUAAGAAGAGGUAUUUUUCCUCCAUCACUUCUACAUGUGUGGGAUAGUUUGGGAAUAGAAGAAGCUCAGUUCUGAACACAGAAGAAGAUGCAUCUGAAGAAUCUUGGUGCCACUUCUUGGGCACACUUCUAAAGUUAUUUUUAAAAGUGAUCUCAUAAAGGAAACAACUCUUUCCUACUAUUAUGAGAAAUUAGUUUGUUGACCACUUAGCCAUAUACACAAGAGCUGUUCUGUCUAAACAGUAAAAGACUGGAUGCUGUUUUUUUAAAAAAAGGUUUUAGUCUUUGAAGUAAUUUUCCUUUUUAUUAUGGAUAUGUUUUGUUGAUGCUUUGUGUCUAAAUGGACUGACUACAAGUUGUUAUAUUUUACUUUUGGAGACAGAUUGUCAUGUAGCCAAGACCAGCCUUGAACUUGUUAUGUAGCCAAGGAUGAUCUAGAACUUCUGUUCUUUCUGAAUGCUAACAUUGCACUUGUGUGCCACCAUGCCUAGUUUUAUGUAGUGGUGGCUGUUGAACCCAGGGCCUUACCAACUAAGCCAUAUCCCCAGUCUGCAAAUUAUUGUAUUAGUCUGUAAUUUUAUUGUAAGAUCUCAAUAAGAAAUCUGAUUAGACAUCUCCCCAAUAGCUAGAAGUGGGGCACAGGACAGUAAAGAGGAAGAAGGCUAGCAUUAUGAGAAUUUGAGAAAGGUAUUGUGUACUACCUUCUCUACUGAGUCUCAUACAUACCCCCAAAGCAAGCUGAGGCCCCUUCCUUUAGAACAGGAGUAGCUGUGGAAGAAAAAGAUGUAUGUAGAUUCAUUUCCUAUAGUGGUUUAAAGUUAUUCGUUUUGUUUAAUGUAUACUCAUUGUGUAAGUGCACCUCAAUACAUAAAC